rnacentral:tRNA from 1 species
UUUCUUAUAGUUGAAUACAACGGUGAUUUUUCAGAUCACAGGUCUCAGAGUGGUCUGGGUAAGAAUU